rnacentral:rRNA from 1 species
ACGCUGGCGGCGUGCUUAACACAUGCAAGUCGAACGAAGAAACGCGCUGAAUAUGAGAUCAGCUUGCUGAAGGAAUAUUCUUGUGUUUACUUAGUGGCGGACGGGUGAGUAACGCGUGAGUAACCUGCCCCCGAGUGGGGAAUAACAGCGAGAAAUUGUUGCUAAUACCGCAUAACGUGGAACUGUCGCAUGGCAGAACCACCAAAGAUUUAUCGCUCGGGGAUGGACUCGCGUCCGAUUAGCCAGUUGGCGGGGUAACGGCCCACCAAAGCGACGAUCGGUAGCCGGACUGAGAGGUUGAACGGCCACAUUGGGACUGAGACACGGCCCAGACUCCUACGGGAGGCAGCAGUGGGGGAUAUUGCGCAAUGGGGGAAACCCUGAACCGCAGCAACGCCGCGUGAAGGAUGAAGGUUUUCGGAUUGUAAACUUCUUUUAUGAGGGACGAAAUCUGACGGUACCUCAUGAAUAAGCUCCGGCUAACUACGUGCCAGCCGCUGC